rnacentral:lncRNA from 1 species
GGCACCUGUCGGCAGUCAGCUGAGCACAGACUCACCUGAGGAGCAGCAGAUGGAGUCCGGGCAGCUUUCAGCUGCAGAAGAACGCAGGAAUGAAUUGGAGGAAGGGGGCGUGGCCUGUUCCGUGAUAGUGUGUGACAUCAAACCAAAAGUUCCAGGUGUGAAGGAUAGAAAGAACGACCCCUGGUCAUGUGACAGCUCUGCAUCUUCCUCCGACAGUGAGGACGAUGAUAAAAACAAGAAGAAGAAGAAGAAAAAGCUGAAGAAGAAAAGAAGCAAGAAGUUCAGCUCAUCUUCCUCAUCAUCAUCAUCAUCAUCAUCAUCAUCAUCUUCCUCCUCUUCAUCCUCAGAAAGUGACAGCAGUGAGGAUGAAAAGAAGAAAAAAAAGAAAAUGAAAAUCAGCGAAACGGCAGAGCUGGGGAUUCUAGCAGAAACAGGUCUGGAGGGAAAUACUGAAUUAACUCCUGCAGGAGAAACUAAAGGAGACGAGGAGAAGAAAAAGAAGAAAGACAAAGACUCCAGCUCUUCUUCUUCAUCCGACAGCAGCUCCUCAUCCUCCUCAGACUCAGACAGCGACGAUGACAAGAAGAAGAAGAAGAAGAAGAAGAAGAAGAAGAAGAAGAAGAAGAAGAAGAAGAAGGAUUCAUCUUCAUCAUCAAAUAGCUCUUCAUCAUCAUACAAGAAGAAGAAGAAGAAGAAGAAGAAGAAGAAGAAGAAGAAGAAGAAGAAGAAGAAGGUAAUGAUAGAAAUGAGCUACCUGGCCUGAAACCUAAAUGAAUGUGUUUGUGGAUUCAUUCUUGUCUGUGAUUAUUAAGAUGUCAUUUGCUAAGAAAAUGAAUGUAAAUGCAGAUUAAUCUCUCAAUCCUCAGGAUUCAUCAUCAUCAUCAUCUUCAUCUGACAGUGACCAUGACAAGAAGAAGAAGAAGAAGAAAAAGAAAAAGAAGAAAAAGAAGAAGAAGAAGAAGAAGAAAGUGAAGGUCAGAUUCAUUUACGUACACUGAAAAAAAAAUUGAUGUAGAAACAUUUUUCACAAAUUGCUGGUAGAUGUCACAAAGCAAUUUCAUAACAUAUAAAAUUUUGAAUUAAAAACUAAUAGUAUUUUCUUGUAAAACAUAUUCCAAU